GUAGUACUCCCUCCGUCCAAAAAUACUUGUCAUCAAAAUGGAUAAAAAGAGAUGUAUCUAGAACUAACAUACAUCUAGAUACAUCCCCUUAUAUCCAUUUUGAUGAUAAGUUUUUCCGGACGGAGGGAGUAUAUA
rfam:Triticum aestivum genome assembly, contig: Triticum_aestivum_CS42_TGACv1_scaffold_112740_2AS